rnacentral:tRNA from 1 species
GGGGGAUUAGCUCAGUUGGGAGAGCGCUUCGCUGGCAGUGAAGAGGUCGCAGGUUCGAUCCCUGUAUCCUCCACCA